UACGGAGGGUGCGAGCGUUGUUCGGAAUUAUUGGGCGUAAAGGGCUCGUAGGCGGUCUGUCGCGUCGGGAGUGAAAACUCAGGGCUUAACCCUGAGCCUGCUUCCGAUACGGGCAGACUAGAGGUAUGCAGGGGAGAACGGAAUUCCUGGUGUAGCGGUGGAAUGCGCAGAUAUCAGGAGGAACACCGGUGGCGAAGGCGGUUCUCUGGGCAUUACCUGACGCUGAGGAGCGAAAGUGUGGGGAGCGAACAGG
rnacentral:rRNA from 1 species